rnacentral:rRNA from 1 species
UACGGGGGGGGCAAGCGUUGUUCGGAAUUACUGGGCGUAAAGGGCUCGUAGGCGGCCAACUAAGUCAGACGUGAAAUCCCUCGGCUUAACCGGGGAACUGCGUCUGAUACUGGAUGGCUUGAGAUUGGGAGAGGGAUGCGGAAUUCCAGGUGUAGCGGUGAAAUGCGUAGAUAUCUGGAGGAACGCCGGUGGCGAAGGCGGCAUCCUGGACCAACACUGACACUGAGGCGCGAAAGCCAGGGGAGCAAACGGG